UACGUAGGGCGCAAGCGUUGUCCGGAAUUAUUGGGCGUAAAGAGCUCGUAGGCGGCUUGUCACGUCGGAUGUGAAAGCCCGGGGCUUAACUCCGGGUCUGCAUUCGAUACGGGCUGGCUAGAGUGUGGUAGGGGAGAUCGGAGUUCCUGGUGUAGCGGUGAAAUGCGCAGAUAUCAGGAGGAACACCGGUGGCGAAGGCGGAUCUCUGGGCCAUUACUGACGCUGAGGAGCGAAAGCAUGGGGAGCGAACAGG
rnacentral:rRNA from 1 species